rnacentral:rRNA from 1 species
UACGUAGGGUGCGAGCGUUAAUCGGAAUUACUGGGCGUAAAGCGUGCGCAGGCGGUGCUGGAAGACCGAUGUGAAAUCCCCGGGCUUAACCUGGGAACUGCAUUGGUGACUGCAGCGCUGGAGUAUGGCAGAGGGGGGUGGAAUUCCACGUGUAGCAGUGAAAUGCGUAGAGAUGUGGAGGAACACCGAUGGCGAAGGCAGCCCCCUGGGCCAAUACUGACGCUGAGGCACGAAAGCUAGGGGAGCAAACAGG